rnacentral:rRNA from 4 species
GAGUAAUGUCUGGGAAACUGCCUGAUGGAGGGGGAUAACUACUGGAAACGGUGGCUAAUACCGCAUAACGUCGCAAGACCAAAGAGGGGGACCUUCGGGCCUCUUGCCAUCAGAUGUGCCCAGAUGGGAUUAGCUUGUUGGUGAGGUAACGGCUCACCAAGGCGACGAUCCCUAGCUGGUCUGAGAGGAUGACCAGCCACACUGGAACUGAGACACGGUCCAGACUCCUACGGGAGGCAGCAGUGGGGAAUAUUGCACAAUGGGCGCAAGCCUGAUGCAGCCAUGCCGCGUGUAUGAAGAAGGCCUUCGGGUUGUAAAGUACUUUCAGCGGGGAGGAAGGUGUUGUGGUUAAUAACCGCAGCAAUUGACGUUACCCGCAGAAGAAGCACCGGCUAACUCCGUGCCAGCAGCCGCGGUAAUACGGAGGGUGCAAGCGUUAAUCGGAAUUACUGGGCGUAAAGCGCACGCAGGCGGUCUGUCAAGUCGGAUGUGAAAUCCCCGGGCUCAACCUGGGAACUGCAUUCGAAACUGGCAGGCUUGAGUCUUGUAGAGGGGGGUAGAAUUCCAGGUGUAGCGGUGAAAUGCGUAGAGAUCUGGAGGAAUACCGGUGGCGAAGGCGGCCCCCUGGACAAAGACUGACGCUCAGGUGCGAAAGCGUGGGGAGCAAACAGGAUUAGAUACCCUGGUAGUCCACGCCGUAAACGAUGUCUACUUGGAGGUUGUGCCCUUGAGGCGUGGCUUCCGGAGCUAACGCGUUAAGUAGACCGCCUGGGGAGUACGGCCGCAAGGUUAAAACUCAAAUGAAUUGACGGGGGCCCGCACAAGCGGUGGAGCAUGUGGUUUAAUUCGAUGCAACGCGAAGAACCUUACCUGGUCUUGACAUCCACAGAACUUUCCAGAGAUGGAUUGGUGCCUUCGGGAACUGUGAGACAGGUGCUGCAUGGCUGUCGUCAGCUCGUGUUGUGAAAUGUUGGGUUAAGUCCCGCAACGAGCGCAACCCUUAUCCUUUGUUGCCAGCGGUCCGGCCGGGAACUCAAAGGAGACUGCCAGUGAUAAACUGGAGGAAGGUGGGGAUGACGUCAAGUCAUCAUGGCCCUUACGACCAGGGCUACACACGUGCUACAAUGGCGCAUACAAAGAGAAGCGACCUCGCGAGAGCAAGCGGACCUCAUAAAGUGCGUCGUAGUCCGGAUUGGAGUCUGCAACUCGACUCCAUGAAGUCGGAAUCGCUAGUAAUCGUGGAUCAGAAUGCCACGGUGAAUACGUUCCCGGGCCUUGUACACACCGCCCGUCACACCAUGGGAGUGGGUUGCAAAAGAAGUAGGUAGCUUAACCUUCGGGAGGGCGCUUACCACUUUGUGAUUCAUGACUGGGGUGAAGUCGUAACAAGGUAACCGUAGGGGAACCUGCGGUUGGA